rnacentral:rRNA from 1 species
UACGAAGGGGGCUAGCGUUGCUCGGAUUGACUGGGCGUAAAGGGCGCGUAGGCGGUUCGUACAGUCAGACGUGAAAUUCCUGGGCUCAACCUGGGGGCUGCGUUUGAUACGUGCGGACUUGAGUGCGGAAGAGGGUCGUGGAAUUCCCAGUGUAGAGGUGAAAUUCGUAGAUAUUGGGAAGAACACCGGUGGCGAAGGCGGCCAUCUGGACCGUAUCUGACGCUGAGGCGCGAAAGCGUGGGGAGCAAACAGG